CGCCCAGUGAUGUGAGAAAAUAUUUGCUACACUUGAUGGAUUUUAAAGAAUCCACUUGAUGAUUCCUAUCUACCAAGAUCUCUGAGGCA